CUAUUAAAAAUACAUCUAUUUGUCCUAUUAAAAAUGGACGUGCUUGAUAGAAUAACCAGACAAUGACACGUGGAGUGCCAUGUGUAUGAUAGCAUGACGUACAAUGACCAAUUUUUAAUAGUAAAAAUGGAUGGAAUUUUAACAA
rfam:Gossypium hirsutum cultivar TM-1 chromosome 12, whole genome shotgun sequence